rnacentral:sRNA from 1 species
ACACUGGGGCCUCUGUCCCCAACACAUCAGCCAUGCAGCGAGCCCCUGCUCCAAGCAUACUCUAGAAAAUAAAGCAAAGGCCAGCUGGAGGUGAUCUUGGACCGGCGGCUGAUGCAGGAUGACAACCGGGGCCUAGGCCAAGGGCUCAAGGACAACAAGAGAACCUGCAACCGUUUCCGCCUCCUGCUAGAGCGGCGAACCGUGGGCAGCGAGGUCCAAGAUAGUCACUCUACCAGCUACCCAUCCCUCCUCAGCCACCUGACCUCCAUGUACCUGAACACCCCGGCGCUCGCUCUGCCUGUAGCCAGGACGCAGCUCCCAGGCCCUGGUCUGCGCUCAUUUCAUCCUCUGGCUUCCUCACUGCCCUGUGACUUCCACCUGCUCAACCUACGUACGCUCCAGGCUGAGGAGGACACCCUACCCUCGGCGGAGACCGCACUCAUCUUACACCGCAAGGGUUUUGACUGCGGCCUGGAGGCCAAGAACUUGGGCUUCAACUGCACCACAAGCCAAGGCAAGGUAGCCCUGGGGAGCCUGUUCCAUGGCCUGGAUGUGGUAUUCCUUCAGCCAACCUCC